rnacentral:snoRNA from 1 species
AACCCAUGGUGGAGGCAUCUUCUUAAAAGGUCCUUGUAUCUCUCUCAUGCAUCAUAGAGUGUUUCUAAAUCCAUCUGCACAAAAGAAAAAUAUCAUUAUGUAAUU